GACGUAGGGUGCGAGCGUUGUCCGGAUUUAUUGGGCGUAAAGAGCUCGUAGGCGGCUUGUUACGUCGGCUGUGAAAACCCGCGGCUCAACCGCGGGCCUGCAGCCGAUACGGGCAGGCCAGAGUUCGGUAGGGGAGACUGGAAUUCCUGGUGUAGCGGUGAAAUGCGCAGAUAUCAGGAAGAACACCCGUGGCGAAGGCGGUUCUCUGGGACGGUACUGACGCUGAGACGCGAAAGCGUGGGGAGCGAACAGG
rnacentral:rRNA from 1 species